GCGAAGGUGGCCGGAAUUGGUAGACGCGCUAGCUUCAGGUGUUAGUGUCCUUACGGACGUGGGGGUUCAAGUCCCCCCCCUCGCACCA
rnacentral:tRNA from 1 species